rnacentral:rRNA from 1 species
UCAAAAUGCAUCGAUAGGGGAGUGUUCCACCUUAGAGGGAAGCAACCGCGAGAGCAGGGUCAACGAAGCAGACGCGAGAAUGUCGGCUUGAGUAACGAAAACAUUGGUGAGAAUCCAAUGCCCCGAAAACCCAAGGUUUCCUCCGCAAGGUUCGUCCACGGAGGGUGAGUCAGGGCCUAAGAUCAGGCCGAAAGACGUAGUCGAUGGACAACAGGUCAAUAUUCCUGUACUACCCCUUGUUGGUAUGGAGGGAUGGAGGAAAUAUAGGCCUGCUUGCCAUCCACACCAGAAUAGAUAGAGUUUUCCAAAGAAACUAGCUAGUGGAGGAAGGCCUCCUAGGGAUAAGAGACAUAGGGCUAAAGAGAGAGCCAAAAAAGGAUCUGUCGUGUAUAAUCCUACAUAAUCUCGAAUGUUAUUAGUUCCGGUACAUAGACCAAAUAAUACAAUGCAAGCAAAAGUUCUUAGAUUCAU